AUUGAACGCUGGCGGCAGGCCUAACACAUGCAAGUCGAACGAGUGGCGGACGGGUGAGUAAUGUCUGGGAAACUGCCUGAUGGAGGGGGAUAACUACUGGAAACGGUAGCUAAUACCGCAUACCAUGGUCUGGGCCCAGAUGGGAUGAGCUGGUAGGUGGGGGAACGGCUCACCUAGGCGACGAUCCCUAGGUGGUCUGAGAGGAUGACCAGCCACACUGGAACUGAGACACGGUCCAGACGCCUACGGGAGGCAGCAGUGGGGAAUAUUGCACAAUGGGCGCAAGCCUGAUGCAGCCAUGCCGCGUGUAUGAAGAAGGCCUUCGGGUUGUAAAGUACUUUCAGCGGGGAGGCGUUACCCGCAGAAGAAGCACCGGCUAACUCCGUGCCAGCAGCCGCGGUAAUUC
rnacentral:rRNA from 1 species